GACGUAGGAUGCAAGCGUUGUCCGGAAUUAUUGGGCGUAAAGAGUUCGUAGGCGGUUACUUAAGUCUGAUGUUAAAGACUGGCGCUCAACGCCAGCAUGGCAUUGGAAACUGGGUAGCUAGAGUACGGUAGAGGUCAUGGGAAUUCCUGGUGUAGCGGUGAAAUGCGUAGAUAUCAGGAGGAACACCAGUGGCGAAAGCGCGUGACUGGGCCGUAACUGACGCUGAGGAACGAAAGCCAGGGGAGCGAAA
rnacentral:rRNA from 1 species